ACGAUGAAGAGUUUGAUCCUGGCUCAGGAUGAACGCUAGCGGCAGGCCUAACACAUGCAAGUCGAGGGGUAUAAAGUGCUUGCACUUUAGAGACCGGCGCACGGGUGCGUAACGCGUAUGCAAUCUACCUAUUGCAGGGGAAUAGCCCAGAGAAAUUUGGAUUAAUGCCCCAUAGUACUAUUGAAUAGCAUUUUUUAAUAGUUAAAGAUUUAUCGGCAAUAGAUGAGCAUGCGUCCUAUUAGCUAGUUGGUGUGGUAACGGCACACCAAGGCAACGAUAGGUAGGGGUCCUGAGAGGGAGAUCCCCCACACUGGUACUGAGACACGGACCAGACUCCUACGGGAGGCAGCAGUGAGGAAUAUUGGACAAUGGGCGAGAGCCUGAUCCAGCCAUGCCGCGUGCAGGAAGACUGCCUUAUGGGUUGUAAACUGCUUUUAUACAGGAAGAAACAUCCCGACGUGUCGGGACUUGACGGUACUGUAAGAAUAAGGAUCGGCUAACUCCGUGCCAGCAGCCGCGGUAAUACGGAGGAUCCAAGCGUUAUCCGGAAUCAUUGGGUUUAAAGGGUCCGUAGGCGGGCAGCUAAGUCAGUGGUGAAAGUCUGUGGCUCAACCAUAGAAUUGCCAUUGAUACUGGUUGUCUUGAAUUACUAUGAAGUGGUUAGAAUAUGUAGUGUAGCGGUGAAAUGCUUAGAUAUUACAUGGAAUACCAAUUGCGAAGGCAGAUCACUAAUAGUAUAUUGACGCUGAGGGACGAAAGCGUGGGUAGCGAACAGGAUUAGAUACCCUGGUAGUCCACGCCGUAAACGAUGGAUACUAGCUGUUGGACCGCAAGGUUCAGUGGCUAAGCGAAAGUGAUAAGUAUCCCACCUGGGGAGUACGUUCGCAAGAAUGAAACUCAAAGGAAUUGACGGGGGCCCGCACAAGCGGUGGAGCAUGUGGUUUAAUUCGAUGAUACGCGAGGAACCUUACCAGGGCUUAAAUGUAGUUUGACCGAUUUGGAAACAGAUUUUUCGCAAGACAAAUUACAAGGUGCUGCAUGGUUGUCGUCAGCUCGUGCCGUGAGGUGUCAGGUUAAGUCCUAUAACGAGCGCAACCCCUAUCGUUAGUUGCUAACAGGUUAAG
rnacentral:ncRNA from 1 species